GCAAUUUAUUAUUUUUUAGUAUAUAAAUUUCACGAAACCGUUUGAGCUAAUUUUUAUUUUAUCUUAGAAUUUUAGUUUAGCGUAGCAUAGCUAAAUUAAUAAUAGGAAUUAGGGGCGAAAGGCUUACCAAAUUCGGGGAUAUCUUGAUAAUAAGGAAAUAUAUUUAGUAUAUAGCCAGCUUGAUAAUGGUGAGGUUAUCAAAAAUUAUAAUAAUAGCUUUUUCUUUAUGUGGAAUUCAUAAUAGAUAUCAAUUUAACUACAUUAAUAUUAUUAUACUUUUAAUAUGUAAUUAGUACUUAAUUAAGCGUUAUAAUAUUUAUUUGUUUAAAAAAUGAUUGCAUUAGUAUUAAAUAAUUUUUAUUAAAGGAACUCGGCAACUUUAAUUCUCGGCUGUUUAUCAAAAACAUAGUUUUAAGUUUUUAUUUAAAAUAAAACCUGCUCAAUGAAAAUUUAAAUAGCCGCAGUACCUUGACUGUGCAAAGGUAGCAUAAUCAGUUGGCUUAUAAUUGAAGUCUAGUAUGAAUGGGAAUUCGGGAAUUCACUGUCUUUAUUUAAUUCUUAGAACUUACUUAUUAAGUGAAAAUUCUUAUUAAAAGAAAAAAGACGAGAAGACCCUAGAAAUUUUUUAAAUAUAUAAUCUUUAAUUUUGUUGGGGCGACAAGGUAACAAGAAACUUACCUAGUACAUGUGAAACUAUUAAGUUGAAGAGAUAAAUUACUCUGGGGAUAACAGCAUAAUAUUUUAAAGUUUGUGACCUCGAUGUUGGACUAGGGAGUGGAUUACUUAGAAGGUAAUUUAAUAGGCUCUGUUCGAGCUCUAUACCCUACAUGAUCUGAGUUCAGACCGG
rnacentral:rRNA from 1 species